ACUUUGGUAGUGAAAAUAUUUUAAUAUCCGCAUGUGCAUAAAGUGACACGAAUAACAGUUCCCGUUUACUGGGCUCUGAUGCUGUAGCAGGCUGUGGGGAUGGCUACUGUGCUCAUUUUACAGACAAGGAAACUGAAACCCAGGCAGGCGAAGUGGCUUGCCCAGGCUCACACAGCCAGAACGGGAUGAAGCAGGUUCUGACCUCCAAGCAAGACUGACUCCAGUGGGGAAUUAUGGGUUCCCAAAUGACACUGAUCACAGCAACAACGGGCAGGACAGGACAGGUGACUCAGAGCAGACUCCUCAUGCAAGGGGAGAUGUUGCCCAGUGCCGAGGGCACCGGGGCAGGGUUCAUGCCUUCCCCUUGCAGGCUUGUGUGGACUGAGUGUGUUACGGCCAUGAAAACACCAUGUGCUCUAUAAGGUGCGCUUUAUUCAUUCCUGAAGUGAGCAUUUAUCAUGCACCCACGUUCAUGCCAAGCCCUUCUCUGGGACCAUUGCCUGGUGGUUGAGCUCUAGUCCUUCUGUCUGGCUGGCCGUGUAGCCUUGGGCAAGCCGCUCCAUCUCUCUGUGCCUCUGUUGCCUGGCCUUCAGAUGGAGAUGCCGGCCCAGAGGGUACCAGAGGCCUUUCCUGGCUUGCAAACAGGAUGCCAGUCCACAAAGCCACAGGGUGAGGGUGCUUCCCAGUUCUCUGUGCUUCGGAACAGCGUGCUGCUCCGGGGGACCUUGGAAAGGUGACUGGGCUCUUCUGGCGGUUUGGGGUGGGGGUUGUAGUUUGUGCUCCCGGAUGUUUGCCCACGUGGGUGGAGCCUGCCUGUCUGUUGCCCCUUAGAGGGAAGUUGGCAGUAGGAUGGGUUGGGGGGCCGUGGAUGUUGGGAGGCCCUAAAGCUGAGCCCAGACUCUCAGGCUUGGGAAGGACCUUCCCGAUCAGCCUUCUGUCCAUGGCUUGAAUUCCUGUCUUGUGGCAUCAGGAAAGACUUAUGUCUUUUAGGGUCCAACCAAGAAAGCAGAAAAACACUCAGGUGUUGCAGACAGAGGGCCUUCAUACAGGGAGUUAGUCACACAGGUUAUGGGAGAGCCGAGAAGCCGAAGAGGGUGUGAUGAGUUAACCCAGAGAUUAACAACUGCGAGAAACCACCACCGCCCCAGGAUGGAGAAGCCAGGGAGGUGGUGGGGUUAGCAGAUCCUGGGAU
rnacentral:lncRNA from 1 species